GUUAGGUUCUUUAAAAUUAAAAAAUUUGGCGGUAUUUUAGUUUAAAAGAGGAACCUGUUUUUUAAUGGAUAAUCCACGAUUAAUUUUACUUAUUUUAAUAAUUCAUAUAUCGCUGUCAUGAAUAUAUUUAAAAAUUUAUUUUCUUUAUUUAUUUUUAUAAUUUAUGUUAAGUCAAGAUGUGGUUAAUAAAUAAGUAUAUAAUGGGUUACAGUAAAUUUUAUUUUUGGAUUUUAAAUGAAAAUUAAAAUGAAAUUGGAUUUAAUAGUAAAUUUAUUUAUUUAGUUAAUAUGAAGAAAGAUCUAAAAUAUGUACAUAUUGCCCGUCAUUCUUAUUAAAAAUAAGACAAGUCGUAACAAAGUAAGUGUACUGGAAAGUGUAUUUAGAAAGAUUAAAUUUAAUAUAAA
rnacentral:rRNA from 1 species